GACUGUGGGUGAUAAGGUCCAUGGUCAAAAGGGAAACAGCCCAGAUCAUCAGUUAAGGUCCCAAAAUUCUUGCUAAGUGGAAAAGGAUGUGGGGAUGCACAGACAACUAGGAGGUUGGCUUAGAAGCAGCCACCCUUCAAAGAGUGCGUAAUAGCUCACUAGUCGAGUGACCCUGCGCCGAAAAUUUACCGGGGCUAAGUAAGAUACCGAAACUAUGGAUGGUAUAGUAAUAUACCGUGGUAGGGGAGCGUUCUAAUCUGCAUUGAAGGUGUACCGUGAGGAGCGCUGGAGCGAUUAGAAGUGAGAAUGCCGGUGUGAGUAGCGAGAUGUCAGUGAGAAUCUGACACACCGAUAGCCCAAGGUUUCCAGGGGAAGGUUCGUCCGCCCUGGGUAAGUCGGGACCUAAGAUGAGGCCGAAAGGCGUAGUCGAUGGACAACGGGUUGAUAUUCCCGUACCCGCGUACAAGUGAUGGAGUGACAGAGAAGGCUAAGAUGAGCCGGCGAACGGAAGUGCCGGUCUAAGCGAGGUAGCAGUGUUGUAGGCAAAUCCGCAACACAAUGUGAAGACGUAAUGGGGAGUGAACGGGUGACCAAGUAACGAAGCAUCUGAUGCCAGCUUUCAAGAAAAGCUUCUAGCGUUAAUUGUAUGGCGGCCCGUACCAAAACCGACACAGGUGGGCAAGGAGAGAAUCCUGAGGUGAGCGAGAGAACUGUUGCCAAGGAACUCGGCAAAAUGACCCCGUAAGUUCGCGAGAAGGGGUGCACGCAAGUGCCGCAGUGAAGAGGCCCAAGCAACUGUUUAACUAAAACACAGCUCUAUGCAAAGUCGCAAGACGACGUAUAUGGGGUGACGCCUGCCCGGUGCUGGAAGGUUAAGGGGAUUUGUUAGUCGCAAGACGAAGCUUUGAACCGAAGCCCCAGUGAACGGCGGCCGUAACUAUAACGGUCCUAAGGUAGCGAAAUUCCUUGUCAGGUAAGUUCUGACCCGCACGAAAGGCGUAAUGAUUUGGGCGCUGUCUCGGCAGCAGACUCGGUGAAAUCUUAGUACCUGUGAAGAUGCAGGUUACCCGCAACUAGACGGAAAGACCCCAUGGAGCUUUACUGUAGCCUGAUAUUGAGUUUUGAACAAGUAUGUACAGGAUAGGUGGGAGACUAUGAAGUGUGGACGUUAGUCUGCAUGGAGUCGCCGUUGGGAUACCACUCUUGCUUGUUUGAAAUUCUAACCGACACCCAUGAUCUGGGUGCGGGACCGUGUCAGGUGGGCAGUUUGACUGGGGCGGUCGCCUCCUAAAGAGUAACGGAGGCGCUCAAAGGU
rnacentral:rRNA from 1 species